UUCAUCAACCGCAUCUCUCAUUCUCCCAAGCCUUCCUCUCGACAGCCUCCUUCAAAACCCAGCAGAACCAAAACCGACCACCGAUCUGGUGGCUAUCUCACGCCUCGAUCGACGACUGAGGGAAACACAAGGAUGACCCAAAUGAUAAUAACGCGAACCCCUCCCCAAACUACCUAACUCGACUGAAAACCGAAACCUAAAGGAGUCAUGGCCGCUAUUCGUCGACGCCACUUCUGCUCCGACCGACGCUAAACCCCGACCAAAAUGACCUAACGACGACCAAACAACCGCAAAAUCACCUCUUUUUCUACUCUAGAACCUAGAAAGCUAAAGGAAACAUCCCCUAUUUGGAGCGAGAUCCUUCGAUCCUUCGAAUCUCUCUACCCCGAUGGCCUCAACUCCGGCGAGAAGCUUCAUCGGUUCAGGGUAUGGGCGCCAGUGGUGGCUUUUGUUUGGGUGUCCGACAGGUAUGGGCUUCCCUUGGGAGGCACGAGCUGCUGCAGUGGGGUAUGGGGAAUUGCACAUCAUGGCGGAGCAGAUCAUGGGUGAGACGUGGGCAACAACCACGAGGGGUUUCACGUAGGAGGCAUGGGCAGCCCGGGUAAAGUUACUGCAACCGGGUCUGGGUGGGUUGUAACCGGAUCACACUUGGGCUCACACUUGGGCUGCUCUUGGGCUCCUGCUGGGUUAAUUAUUUGUAAUCUGGUUUGGGCUUGUGUAAGAUAUAAAGAGUGUAUGAUGUAAAGGGACUCUAAUACUUAAUUUGGAUUUUCGAUUGAAC